CAGGCCGGCAGGUUGGAAGUCUCCAGGAGCUGGCGGUCAGCGUGUGUAGGAGUGAGUCCGCGAGUUUGCCAAGCUGAUUGGCAGAAAAAGCAAGCCUGCACUCUCCAAGCUGCACUAUUACAACUGGGAGACGAGCCUCAACCAGAAGUCCCUGAAGAAAUUCUACAAAAGUGCUGAUACCCCUAAAACAUCUUAUACCAAACUCCAUCUCAACAUCUGCUUCCAAAGAACCCAACCUUAGAGAUGAUUUAAUCUGAACUCUAUCUUUUUUAGAUAAUAAAGAUUAUUUUUUCCAAAUUCAAAACUAUUCUCACUUCUUGUAGAAUAGGUAAAUAUUUAUGUAGAAAGAAACAAAAAUCAUGCAUAUUGGCCACCACCUUUGGAGACUGGUGAUAACAAUCUUAAGUAACUAUUCCAACCUUUGAGUGUAUCAUAAUUUACUUA